rnacentral:rRNA from 1 species
GAGAGCAACCUUUCCAGCUCUGCGAUGCGAAUGAGGUAUUUCUGACUCAUGACCGUUUUUAUAAUGCGGUCAGGAGUUUUUUACAACAUUGUCAGUGAGUUACGGCUGGAUGUUUUUGGCUGACGCCAGUCCAGCUUAUCGAGGAGCAUUGCCAGUUGCGAGCGGGUAAUGGAUACCUUGCCGUCACGUACCGCAGGCCAGAUAAACUGGCCUUCCUCCAGGCGUUUGGUGAACAGGCACAGACCAUCAGCAUCAGCCCAAAGAAUUUUGACGGUGUCACCCCGUCGGCCACGGAAGAUAAACAGGUGACCGGAGAAGGGAUUAUCAUUCAGCACGUAUUGUACCUGUUCUCCCAGUCCGUUGAAGGAUUUACGCAUAUCGGUAACGCCGGCAACGAGCCAGAUACGGGUACCUGAUGGGAGUGAGAUCAUCUUCCCCUCCCGGUCAGUUCACGGAUCAACACCGUGAGCAGCUCUGGCGAUGGAUUUUCCAGCGUCAUGUUACCGUGACGGAAUUCCACCUUGCAGGAACUGGCACUGACUCUGGUCUGAGUGGAAGUGGAUAAAGACGGCGCAAUUGGCCGCCACAGGUUCUUUCUGCUCAUCCGGCGUUAUUU